CUUGGUCAUUUAGAGGAAGUAAAAGUCGUAACAAGGUUUCCGUAGGUGAACCUGCGGAAGGAUCAUUAUCGAAUCGUAGGCGAGGGUUGUCGCUGGCCUCUCGGGGCAUGUGCACGCCCGAGCCCUUGAAUCCCAAACACACAUGUGAACCCACCGUAGGCCUUCGGGCCUAUGUCUUAUCAUAUAAUCCGAAUGUCUAAUAGAAUGUAAACCCAUUUCGUUGCCUUGAAAACGUAACGAAAGAAAACUAUACAACUUUCAACAACGGAUCUCUUGGCUCUCGCAUCGAUGAAGAACGCAGCGAAAUGCGAUAAGUAAUGUGAAUUGCAGAUUUUCAGUGAAUCAUCGAAUCUUUGAACGCACCUUGCGCCCCUUGGUAUUCCGAGGGGCAUGCCUGUUUGAGUGUCAUUAAAUCCUCAACCCCUCCGAUUCGUUUCGGUGGGGAUUGGACUUGGAGCGUGCUGGCGAAGGUCGGCUCCUCUUUAAAUGCAUCAGCGGAGAAAAUGCCUUUUGCGCCUCUGGCCGUUCAGCGUGAUAAUGAUGUUGCGCUGCGGUCGAGCUUAAGGUCCGCUUCCAAAGGUCCUCUCGGACGAUAUAUACAUAUGACUUUUGACCUCAAAUCAGGUAGGACUACCCGCUGAACUUAAGCAUAUCAAUAAGCGGAGA
rnacentral:rRNA from 1 species